GAGUUUGAUCAUGGCUCAGGACGAACGCUGGCGGCAGGCUUAAUACAUGCAAGUCGAGCGAACAAUCGGGGCUUCGGCCCUGUGCGUUAGCGGCGGACGGGUGAGUAACACGUGGAAACAUGCCCUUUACUGCGGAAUAGCCACUGGAAACGGUGAAUAAUACCGCAUGUGCCCUUCGGGGGAAAGAUUUAUCGGUAAAGGAUUGGUCCGCGGUGGAUUAGGUAGUUGGUUGGGUAAUGGCCGACCAAGCCGACGAUCCAUAGCUGGUUUGAGAGGACGAUCAGCCACACUGGGACUGAGACACGGCCCAGACUCCUACGGGAGGCAGCAGUAGGGAAUAUUAGACAAUGGGGGCAACCCUGAUCUAGCCAUGCCGCGUGAUUGAUGAAGGCCCUAGGGUUGUAAAAAUCUUUCGCUAGGGAUGAUAAUGACAGUACCUAGUAAAGAAGCCCCGGCUAACUCCGUGCCAGCAGCCGCGGUAAUACGGAGGGGGCUAGCGUUGUUCGGAAUUACUGGGCGUAAAGCGCACGUAGGCUGAUUACUAAGUCAGGGGUGAAAUCCCAGAGCUCAACUCUGGAACUGCCUUUGAUACUGGUAAUCUAGA
rnacentral:rRNA from 1 species